AGUGAACGCUGGCGGUAGGCCUAACACAUGCAAGUCGAACGGCAGCACAGGAGAGCCUGCUCUCUGGGUGGCGAGUGGCGGACGGGUGAGGAAUACAUCGGAAUCUACCUUUUCGUGGGGGAUAACGUAGGGAAACUUACGCUAAUACCGCAUACGACCUUCGGGUGAAAGCAGGGGACCUUCGGGCCUUGCGCGGAUAGAUGAGCCGAUGUCGGAUUAGCUAGUUGGCGGGGUAAAGGCCCACCAAGGCGACGAUCCGUAGCUGGUCUGGGAGGAUGAUCAGCCACACUGGAACUGAGACACGGUCCAGACUCCUACGGGAGGCAGCAGUGGGGAAUAUUGGACAAUGGGCGCAAGCCUGAUCCAGCCAUACCGCGUGGGUGAAGAAGGCCUUCGGGUUGUAAAGCCCUUUUGUUGGGAAAGAAAAGCAACCAGUUAAUACCUGGUUGUUCUGACGGUACCCAAAGAAUAAGCACCGGCUAACUUCGUGCCAGCCGCCGCCGUAA
rnacentral:rRNA from 1 species